rnacentral:rRNA from 1 species
CCUACGGGGGGCAGCAGUGGGGAAUAUUGGACAAUGGGGGGAACCCUGAUCCAGCCAUGCCGCGUGUGUGAAGAAGGCCCUCGGGUUGUAAAGCACUUUCAGUGAGGAAGAACGCCUGGUGGUUAAUACCCAUCAGGAAAGACAUCACUCACAGAAGAAGCACCGGCUAACUCCGUGCCAGCAGCCGCGGUAAUACGGAGGGUGCGAGCGUUAAUCGGAAUUACUGGGCGUAAAGCGCGCGUAGGUGGCUUGAUAAGCCGGUUGUGAAAGCCCCGGGCUCAACCUGGGAACGGCAUCCGGAACUGUCAAGCUAGAGUGCAGGAGAGGAAGGUAGAAUUCCCGGUGUAGUGGUGAAAUGCGUAGAGAUCGGGAGGAAUACCAGUGGCGAAGGCGGCCUUCUGGACUGACACUGACACUGAGGUGCGAAAGCGUGGGUAGCAAACAGGAUUAGAUACCCGUGUAGUC